UGAUGCUGAUUACAAUCCCAUUCAAGAAUAUUCUUUGAUACCUGCUGGCCAGAAUUCAAAAGGAAUUGAAGACUACAUGAAAAUUGAUAAAUAUAAAGGUGUCAUCACAGUAGUAAAAGCACUGGACUAUGAAACAAGAAACUUUUUUGAAUAUACAGUACAAGUAUCUGAUGAAAUGUUUACAGCAAAUGCUUCUGUAUGGAUCCAAGUUAAGGAUGUUCAAGAUAUGCCACCAGCAUUUAUACAUUCCUGUUGUGUUGAGAAAAUCAAG